CAUCCAGGGUAUGGAUUGUGAACAAGUUGGUUUUGUUUCACAUGUUCAUUUGUGAUUCAUGGCAGGGGACGUGGAAGGAUUCUGUUCCUCAAUCCAUGACACCAGUGUCUCUGCUGGAUUCAGAGCACUGUAUGAAGAAGGAUUGCUUCUUGAUGUCACUCUGGUUAUUGAAGAUCAUCAGUUCCAGGCCCAUAAAGCACUUUUGGCCACUCAGAGUGAUUACUUCAGAAUUAUGUUUACUGCAGACAUGAGAGAACGAGAUCAGGACAAAAUUCAUUUAAAAGGUCUAACUGCUACUGGCUUCAGCCAUGUCCUUCAAUUUAUGUACUAUGGAACUAUAGAACUGAGUAUGAAUACUGUUCAUGAGAUUCUUCAGGCUGCCAUGUAUGUUCAACUUAUAGAAGUGGUGAAGUUCUGCUGCUCUUUUCUAUUAGCGAAAAUCUGCUUAGAAAAUUGUGCAGAAAUUAUGAGACUCUUAGAUGAUUUCGGUGUAAACAUCGAGGGAGUCAGGGAGAAGCUGGAUGCCUUUCUCCUAGACAACUUUGUGCCACUCAUGUCCAGGCCUGACUUCUUGUCCUAUCUGAGCUUUGAGAAGCUCAUGUCUUAUUUGGAUAAUGAUCAUCUGAGCAGGUUCCCAGAGAUAGAGCUGUACGAGGCUGUGCAGUCUUGGCUGCGGCAUGACAGAAGACGCUGGAGACAUACCGAUACCAUCAUUCAGAACAUCAGGUUUUGUUUGAUGACCCCAUCCAGUGUUUUUGAGAAGGUUAAAACAUCAGAAUUUUAUAGAUACUCCCGACAGCUGCGCUAUGAAGUUGACCAAGCAUUGAAUUACUUUCAAAAUGUACAUCAGCAGCCUUUGUUGGAUAUGAAAUCAAGCCGCAUUCGUUCUGCCAAACCCCAAACUACAGUAUUCCGAGGAAUGAUUGGACAUAGCAUGGUUAACAGUAAAAUUCUUCUCUUAAAGAAACCAAGAGUCUGGUGGGAACUGGAGGGCCCACAAGUACCUCUUCGACCAGACUGCCUUGCUAUCAUCAAUAACUUUGUGUUCCUGUUGGGUGGGGAAGAACUGGGCCCGGAUGGUGAAUUCCAUGCCUCUUCCAAAGUGUUCAGGUAUGACCCAAGACAGAAUUCUUGGCUGCGAAUGGCAGACAUGUCUGUACCACGUUCAGAAUUUGCAGUUGGUGUUAUUGGGAAGUUCAUUUACGCUGUAGCAGGCAGAACCAGAGAUGAGACUUUCUAUUCAACAGAGAGAUAUGACAUCACCAAUGAUAAGUGGGAAUUUGUAGACCCUUAUCCAGUUAACAAAUACGGACAUGAGGGGACAGUUCUCAAUAACAAGUUGUUUAUCACUGGUGGAAUCACCUCAUCUUCCACCUCUAAACAAGUGUGUGUAUUUGACCCCAGUAAAGAAGGGACCAUAGAACAACGGACCAGGAGAACUCAAGUAGUUACCAACUGCUGGGAAAAUAAGAGCAAGAUGAAUUACGCAAGAUGCUUUCACAAGAUGAUUUCUUACAAUGGCAAGCUUUAUGUCUUUGGUGGUGUCUGUGUGAUCUUGAGGGCCUCUUUUGAAUCUCAGGGCUGCCCUUCCACAGAGGUGUACAACCCAGAGACUGAUCAGUGGACCAUCUUGGCAUCCAUGCCGAUUGGUAGAAGUGGCCAUGGUGUGACUGUGCUGGACAAACAAAUAAUGGUUCUUGGAGGCCUUUGUUAUAAUGGUCAUUACAGCGAUUCCAUUCUUACCUUCGAUCCGGAUGAAAACAAAUGGAAAGAAGAUGAGUACCCUCGGAUGCCGUGCAAGCUGGAUGGUUUACAAGUAUGCAACCUACAUUUUCCGGACUAUGUACUAGAUGAGGUCAGGCGUUGCAACUAAUGACAUCUUUUUCCCUCAAAAACAAAAAAACAAAAACAAAAAGGCAAACAAAACGUUUGUUUGUGAUAAAGUAGUUAAGUAAAAAACAUAAAAGAAAAACCUCACCAGUUUUACUAUCAAAGCCAUUGGUCUAAUAUCGUAAGAAUUUUUCAUUCUGUGCUAGCAUCCCUUUUUUUUCUUUUCAGUGGCCUCAAACUCAUGCAAUAAGUUAAUUCUAAGUGCUAGUUCUUGAAACUACUCCAGAAGCAGUUUAAUAGAAUGCUCCCCUUAUCUGGGAAGUUGAUUUUCUGCUUUAAACAUUUCUUUCAGACGUUAGCGUAGGAGUCCUGCAUCUUCUAAGAAAAGACCCAAUAAGCGUCACUGGAUGUGAUUUCAGUUCUUAUCUCUAUGUGAAACCUUUUUGAACAGUUUCAGUGUUUCAGUCUUACAUGUUUUGGUUUUAUUAUUUAAAAGUUUAAAACUCUUGAUCUUUUUGCAUGGCUUUUUGCUGAAAAUGCAAAAAUAUAAAUUUUUCUACAAAAUUAACUUUUUAUAUUCAGAACACUAUUUCUAAGCUGCCUUCUCUUAUGCGCAACGUGUUAGUGAAAGCAUAUCCAUACUCGCCUACAUCCUAUAAAUAUUAAGGCACAUCCCUUUUAUGUGUGGUUAGGAUUCUAUAUUUUUAAGCUAGUGCACUUGCACACACGGUUUGCCAUACUUGUUGAAUUUUGGAUGUGACAUGUUUUCAUGUAUUAACAUUUUUAGAAAGUUAAAAUAACUGGAGUCCUCAUUUGGUAUCAAAGUAGCCAGUCUUAAUUCCAUACAGGUUCAGUAAUAUUUGAACUCCUUAUAUUCCUGAAAUAGGUAUGGAUUUAUGAAAAACUAACAUUUUAUGUUUUAUCUUCAAAAGUAAAUGUUAGUGUUCCUUAUUGAUGUCUUUUCAUUUUGAAAAUGUUUUUCUUUGCAGUCUGUUUAAUGUUGUCCUGUUUUUAGUGAGAAUCGGAGUGGUAUAUGACAAGCUCUGAAUCUGACCCUGCAGCGUGCAAGCACUUUUAAAGAGAAUUUAGAGCAGCACCUUCGGACACCUCAUUCUGGGAAGCCUGCUUGCGUCAUAGUAAAGGACACACAUUUGUGUGGGGAGAAGUGGUAAACAUGGAGAGUUUUGUCUUAAUUACAUGAAACUAAGCUUUAAAAUAUUUUAUAACAAAUUAUUUGAGCUGCAUAAUCUAAACAUGUCAGACGUUCAGUGGGACUAUUUUUAUAUAUGUAUAUGUGGGUGUAGGUCAUAACAUUUCAGUUUAUAAUAUAAAUUGUUCUUUCAGUUUAUAAGCUAUCUCUCAGAAGAGACUAGCUCUUUUGAGAAUACGUAAUUUAAAGUUUUAGACUGAAGUAAAACAGCAUAGAUAUAGUGUAAAUUAGAUAUAAUUGAGGGCUAUAUGGCAGUAAAACUGCUAGUGCCAGUUUUCUUGUUUGCCUCCUAUACAUUUUUGAUUUUUUUAUUCCAAACAUUUUUAGAGAUCAUACAUUUGUUCAGUUGCAUUUAGAGUCGGUUUGGGAAUAAAUAUCUUCUAAAAAGAGAUUUAUCUUAAAAUUAAAAGUCCUGAAAAAUUAGUUUAUUGAGAGUUUAUAAAGUCAAAUAUUCAAUAGGCAUAUGCUGGAAUAGAUAAGUUCAUGGAAAUCAUAUCCUGUCAGUAUAGCAGUAAACCUUCAAUAUUACAUGAGUAACGUUGAGAGAAUGCCAUCAGCUUUGUUCCCCCUAAAAUUCUUGGAUGUUCUUUUACAUCUUUGGGAACAAGUGCGUUAAAAUUUUAUUAAUCAGUAUAUCAGUAAGGAUUGGGUGUUUGCUUUCUGGAGGAACGUUCCCGAGAGGUGAUCAGAGAGGUUAUUUUCUACCUAAUUUGUAUAUGCCCUAUACCUCUUGGGCAUACUUUGUCUAUAGAAAAAUAUUUUGACCUUUAGGUACAUUUUGGGCCAGUAGUCAAAUAAUCCUAGGGCCAAUAUAAAAAUCUUAGAACAAUUUACGGUUUGCCUUUUAUAUCUGUUUUGAAAGCCUUUACAUUUUUGUCAGGUAAUUUUUCCCAAGCCGUGGAUAUAAUCUAUUCAAACAUGUU